UACGAAGGGGGCUAGCGUUGCUCGGAAUCACUGGGCGUAAAGCGCACGUAGGCGGAUCGUUAAGUCGGAGGUGAAAUCCUGGAGCUCAACUCCAGAACUGCCUUCGAUACUGGCGAUCUUGGAGUCCGGGAGAGGUGAGUGGAACUCCGAGUGUAGAGGUGAAAUUCGUAGAUAUUCGCAAGAACACCCGUGGCGAAGGCGGUUCUCUGGGACGGUACUGACGCUGAGACGCGAAAGCGUGGGGAGCGAACAGG
rnacentral:rRNA from 1 species